ACGGAAAGAGCGUUCUGUUUGGU
rnacentral:piRNA from 1 species